rnacentral:rRNA from 1 species
UGGGGAAUAUUGCACAAUGGGCGCAAGCCUGAUGCAGCCAUGCCGCGUGUGUGAAGAAGGCCUUCGGGUUGUAAAGCACUUUCAGCGGGGAGGAAGGCGAUAAGGUUAAUAACCUUGUCGAUUGACGUUACCCGCAGAAGAAGCACCGGCUAACUCCGUGCCAGCAGCCGCGGUAAUACGGAGGGUGCAAGCGUUAAUCGGAAUUACUGGGCGUAAAGCGCACGCAGGCGGUCUGUCAAGUCGGAUGUGAAAUCCCCGGGCUUAACCUGGGAACUGCAUUCGUAACUGGCAGGCUAGAGUCUUGUAGAGGGGGGUAGAAUUCCAGGUGUAGCGGUGAAAUGCGUAGAGAUCUGGAGGAAUACCGGUGGCGAAGGCGGCCCCCUGGACAAAGACUGACGCUCAGGUGCGAAAGCGUGGGGAGCAAACAGG